GAAUCCGGGAGGACCAUCUCCCAAGGCUAAAUACUCUCUAGUGACCGAUAGUGAACCAGUACCGUGAGGGAAAGGUGAAAAGUACCCCGGAAGGGGAGUGAAAGAGAACUUGAAACCGUGUGCUUACAAGUAGUCAGAGCCCGUUAAUGGGUGAUGGCGUGCCUUUUGUAGAAUGAACCGGCGAGUUAUGAUUUGAUGCAAGGUUAAGCAGUGAAUGUGGAGCCGUAGCGAAAGCGAGUCUGAAUAGGGCGUUGAGUAUUUGGGCGUAGACCCGAAACCAG
rnacentral:rRNA from 1 species